ensembl:lncRNA
AACUUAACUUAGCGUGCACAUACUUAGUUAAUGCUGAGUCACAUCCGGGGAGGGACUGAGCAGCUGUGUGUGUGGGGGAGGGGGGCAUAAGAGCCUUCCUCAGGCCACUCAGAAGGCUGCACAAUCUCAAAUGAUUGUUCCCUGAAAUUUCCAGUCAGUAUAUUUGAAUGGCAGGGGGCCUGCUGAUGUCCUCCCAUUACAAGGCCAGGGAUGGGGCACAUGCCUGUACUUCAGCACUUAGGAGACUGAACCUGGAGGGUCGGGAGUUAAGGCCACUCUCUGUUAUGAUACAGGAUACUUCAUCCUAAAUCAGUACAAGUGAUGGACACUAACCCUGACAGCUCCAGGACUUCCACUGACGAUGCUCCCUGGGCUUUCUGCUGGAUGCUAUGGACCAAGUAUGUCCUUUCCCUUCCACAAUGGCUGUGACAUCCCUUCACUAAAAACCGACUCAUUUGAGAAGUUGAAAGAGAAGAGAAAAAAGAGACAGAGAACAAGGCAUUUCCUCAAGAAAACCUAAGAGUUAAGUUUUGUUACCAGCCAUUGAGACAGUCUUACUCUGCAGAUCAGGCUGGCCUUGCCUGUGUAGCUCAGGCUACUUGAGCUGCUUCAGCCUCCUGAGUGCUUGGAUUAGAGGUGUGGACCAUUGUAUCUGUGUCCUGGAGGCUCCUUUCUAAUUUAGUUCACUAAUUAGAUUUCAUACUGCCAGACUGUAAAGGUGAAUCUUGGGGUGGGAGCGAGUUUUCUGGUGGACAGUAACUCACCAACGUGAAGUCCUGCCAGAGGAAUAUGCAGACCUUGCAACUGGAGAUGUCCUUUGAGCAUCUAUUUGGGCAGUGUGGUAGGAGAACCCAGGGAUGCCACGGGUACCAAAGAGGGGCCAGUGAUGAGAAAGUUUGUCUUACUCAGGGUGUGGUAGCAUGGUCUGGACCGAAACGACUGCAUUUCCAGACAUCAAGAGAUAGAAAUAGCUCUAUCCUUUGUUUUAGUUUCAUUGCCUCCUUCUAGCCUUUGGAGCGAUCCCUUCUAAUUAUCCUCAUCUGUUUCUGCUUUAAUGGCCUCUCUGGCUUUCUGUUUACCUUGGGUUGGGACAUGGAGAUGCCUUUCCGCCCCUCCCCUGCCUGGGUAGACAGGGGACACCGAGUGAGACCUUCUUUCUACUGAGUCUUGGACAUCUGUGCUGCUCCUCUCUGCCGACGGCUCCCAGAGACACCCACCGAAUGGUAUGCUCAUGAGGAAGACCCCAAUUCUUCCUCAUCUUCUCCCAGCCUUAGCCCUCUAAUCUACACCCCAAUUAUCCCAGUUAACUUUGAGAGCUUUCCCCUCCCAUUUUCUAAACAUCUCUUCACAAUUUUUCCUAUUUCCGCCCCUCCUUGAUUACAGCCAUCCUCGGAAACUUCCAACUCCCAAACCAAAGGCCACAAAUUCCACAGCCUGGAAUUAUGGAGGUGCAAUAGAAAGGCUGAGGACUCCAACAGCUGUGGGCUCAGCCCUUGUUCCCUCACCUGCAAACCAGCACACAUGGGUGGAUUAGCAGCAUUGCUAGUCUGUGCCACAGCUGAAAAUAUCAAAGAAUAAUAGUAGCCAUAGGAGUAUUUGAGGUCUAGCUACUUCACAUGCGAUCUAGUAUCUAGCAUUUGUAUUCAUUUAUUUUGGGGAUCCCUCUCCACCUCUCUUCUGGAAGACAGGAAGCCCCCCAGGAGCUGUGUUUGUGUUGUAAUUACCUCUGUUUCCCUCACAACACCCACCAUGCUAUCAUAGGUUUUCAAUACAACCUCAAUAUGUUCUUUCUAAAUGAACAUGUAAGUUAGUUGAUGUCUUUGGUGGUGGUGGUAUUACUUUUAAAAGACCAAGGUAUAUCACUGCAAGAAAAAAGCAUUAUUGUCUUAAACAUCAUCCAGGUAGGUAUUUAUUCUGAGCUCACUGUGUGCCCAGGUUUGAUGGAACUAACCCAUCCCACAUCCCUGUUAUCACCUCCUCAUCACCUCAUACGGAGUCAGGGGAUGGUAGAUGAGUUAUCCCAGGUCAUCUAGAUAAUUCAGAGAUCGAGGGUUCAAGAACCAAACGUGAGAUGCCAAGAUCUUCUGAGCAUAGAUGACCCCUCCCUUUCUAACAUUCAACCUAGAGUCAGAAAAUGUCUGAACAAAACCAAAAACUUACUUUAAAUAAGAAAGCCACACGAGUUUGUAGAGAGGAUAUCAUGUUCCUCGUUCCCAAAGCCUAACUGAAAAGUUGUUUACAAGCACGGAUGGCUGACUUGCCCAGUGUAGAUUUGAUUUAUCCAUCUUCAUAUGCAAAUAACCUGCCUUCGUGUGUGUCCUUUGCAUGCUGCCUCCAGCACCUGGUGCUGUGACCUGAAAGGCAGAGUGGGCAGGAGUUUCGUAGACAGGAAGUUGGGACAAUUCUUCCACGUGGUUUGUCCUUUUGUUUCUGCUUAAUUUCUCCAGGGAGGGGUUCCUCAGGUAACACGGUGCCAGGCAGACCGCAUUUCUGUUAAUCUGUACACAAAGUGCUCUUACUUAACUUUUCCAGGGAGGGGUUCCUCAGGUAAGACGAUGCCAGGCAGACUGCAUCUCUACUUUACUUACACACCAAGUACUCUUACUAUGUCCUCAUGUAUCCAGCUCGAGAAACAGUCAGAGCAGACUUGAGUUCUUUGAGAACUAGGUACCGGCCUCCUUCUCUUUUCUGUUUUUGUACUGGGGCUUGAACCCAGAGCUUUACACCUGCUAGACACAUGUGCAACCACUGAGUCACACACCCAACUCCUCUCCAUCUCUUCCUUUCUGGCAGGUUUGUGGAUAUUGGGUUUUGUUGGUGGUGGCAGACUUUUUGCCUGCUUGUUCUGUUUUUCUUCUAGUGUCUUCUGAUUGGCAGGGAGGCCAUACAAAACUACCCAGCACAGUUUCCAAGUCUCAUGAAGAAGGGAACUUGAUCCUUUCACUGGUGAAGAGUUGGCCUUGGGCUAGCACUGGGACUCGGUUCAUAGGGAGCGUACCUGCCAUGUAGAAACCACAAUCCAGUCCCUGGUCCCACAUAAAGCAGGCAUGGUGUCACAUGCAUUGUGUGUCACAGGCAUGCAAUCACAGCACUUGGGAGAUGAAGCUCAAGUCCAUACUGGGACACGUAAGAGCCUGUCAACAACAAAAUCAAAUUAGGCUUUCCCUAAUGAUCAGUGAUAACAAUUUAUGUCUUCCUUGGCAAAGCUAUAGUAGAAUAAACAAAACUCUUGUCUGAGACUAGAGAACAGAAACCCAGCUAGAGCCCUGGCUGAGAGGAAUUGUGAGCAGCUGCGAGAGGAGCUGCUGCGAGGACCAGAGUUCCUGACUUCACCCACCACCAUAGCAUGUCCUCUCUUAAUCUUGAUUUCAUUAUUUGUGAGACAGUAACAACACAUUCAUAAUGAUAGCUAACAAUGAAUUAGAUGCCCGGUUCUGUUCUACCCAUCAACAAGCCAGUUUGCCUAACCUCUGUGUCUGUGCAAUGAGGAAAGUUCUACAACACCUUUUGGUAGACGAGUACACUAAGAGAAAGAGGCUCCAGUAAUUUGGGUCAAGACCUCAAAGACACUAAGUGAUAGAUGGAUUGGGGUUCUAUCGGGGUAAUGGAGAUCCAGAGACAGAGCACAUACGGCCCCUCUCAUCCUAAAAUCUUCCUUGAUUCUGAAGUAUCCUCUCUACCACAGUCAGACUCCAUUACAAACUCCAUGGACAGGAGGAGCUUCACCUAGUUACAAAACACCUCGGGCUACAAACCGAUUGUUACCAAGGUGGAUCUGAUUUGCAUAUCGUUAGAAUGUGUUAGUUUUGAGUAUUGCAGUUUGCAUAUUUCUCUGGGGAGGAGCUGCCCAGAGCUGGAGCACGUCACCUUUUGUUUUUUUUUUAUAACCUGAAAAAGGAAUGCCUGAGAGAAAAAGAUGUCAAAUGUCCCUGUGCACCCCUGUAUGGUUGGAAUAGUAAUGGCAAUAUUUUUAGAACCUUAAACCCUUCCACUCUCUGGACAGAGCGCACUGCACAUGCAAUGUUGGUGUGACAGCUCAUUCACAAGACUUGGGUCUGACACAGCCCUACUUUGCAGAGACACUCAAGAACCUCCAGUAUCAAAGUUCCCUGAAACCCUGGGUUUUAAUCCACUUCCAUUUUUUACACAGGGCCCUCUUACUCAAUUCCUCCAUUUGCAUAGAAAACAAAAUCAUGAAAAAUGGAUUUUUGAAAGGAAGGUAGACACCAGGGGCAGGGGCUGGUGGGGAUACUGUAGUGUUUUAAAACCUACUGGAAGGUUUAGAAUGACAAAGUAAACACAUGAACAAAGCCCAGGCCAUAAGGACAGACGGCUGACCAUUGCCAACAUAAGCAUAUUAUUAGCAUCAAAAUUAAUUUUCCAUUAUCUGUCUGAUCUUGGAAGAGCACAAGGAAUCUGAAUUCUCAUCAGAGGUUCAGACUGCAUUUUAGUGAAUUCCUCAGUCUUUUCCCUAACUGAACACUGUGCGGAAUGACCCAGUUAUUACUAUUUAUAAAAUGGAGUGCCAUGAGCUCUCUCUUGCUCUCUGGUAAAAAACAUGUUUAAAGAAACACUAGAGAAACAGGUGCCCUGUGUCCAGACACUGCCUCAGAUGCAUGACUACUUUCUUGUUAAUUAAAUUGUUGGGGAGCAUAUCAGACACCUCAUUAACCACUUUUUCUGCUUUGAGCUGUGGAGAGUCAAUGGAGGCUGAAAGCUGGCUACAGCACACAGAGUAAGAGACAAGAUAAGCUAGUCUUUUAUCUCAGGAAACCAGAGAUUUUCCUUUCCUCUGAAACAGUUCUCAUUGUCCCCCGUGGAAGGUGAGGGUUACAGAUAAAGCUAGGACACACCCUACAGGGAACACACUUUGGAAAGAGCCCUGUAUCUUUUCUAUGGGGAUGGAGGGAAGAGAGCACUUGGUUUCUUGGACGUGAUGCAUCCAUGAAGUUUUCACUGUGAACAUCUGAUGGGCUGAAGCUAAUUAACAUUUAAACACUGGGUUUCUGUGCUGUUUUGGGGUUUGAGAACCACAAGGGAAACCUACCUUUUCUUAGUUUGGGGCACUGUGAAUCACAGGCCUGUCAUUUCCUCCUUUCUGUCUAUGUCUUAACAUUUUCAGACAAACAGUGCCGUAAAGGAGAAGGAUCAUCGUUCCAGUAUGCUUAAUUUCGACCCAAACCCUAUGACCAGCAGGAACAUCCAGGCACCGUCUGAUAGAGCACCCCAUUAAAACACCCCUCAACCCACACAUCAUGGCUGUGUCUCCUCCAGGAAGACAAGUACGUAUUAAAUUGACCAGCUAACACAUAUUCAUUUUGUGUGAUUCCCAGAGCCCUCACAGAUUUGAUUCGGACCACAGUCUGUUUUUGCUCAUCCGUGUCUAUGGUUGUAGUUCAGUGCUAUCAGCCAGAUGUAGAUAAGCUAUGCGGAGUUCAGAAAUGUAAAUGGCAUCACGGAAUUGUCACGAGGUAAGCAAUUGAGGAAGCCUUGACCUCAGGCCCGGAAGGAAGGCUCAGGGGCUUCCAUUUAAAUUUCCUCCCUCUGAGUUCCUCAUAUGUAUGUGGUAGGGAGCACUUUAUAAAGGUCUUCUGUGUGCAUUCUCACUUUGAGUAGCUUCCUGUUUUUCACCUUAUAAAUAGAGUGAGGCGAAGAGUAAAUGACUUAUGGUCCAUUUUUACCAGGAGGGAGAAGAGGGCUUACACUCUCAGGUGUGUGUGUCUUUGGUUGUACACACAUUUUUUUUAUAUGUAUGCCCACAGGUUUUGUGUGUGCGUGUGUGUGUACACACUGCACGCAUGCACGUGUACAUGCAGAGGCACAAGGUUGGCAGGAGUCUUCCUUGACGACACUCCACCUUGUCUUUGAAAUGAACCCAGAGAUCAGCCACACCGCCACCCUCGAUAGCCCAUCGGCUCCAGGGAUCCUGUGUUUCUACCUUUUGAGCCUAGGUCACUAUGUCCUCCUAGCAUUUACAUGGGUUCUGGAUAUCCACGUUUAGGUCCUAGGGCUUGUGUAGCUCACUGACCCAUCUUCCCAGCCUAAAGUCUUCUCUUCUGACCCUAAUCAGUGCAUUUUCUAGUACAUUGUAGCAGCCACUGUGGUUUGCAAUCUCAGUUAAGAAUCCACAUGAAUAUGCUGCAAACAAGGAAAAAUGGACCCUGAAGCCCCACACGAUCACUCACAGAGCAGCUGGGAGCUCAGGGGCUGAGAUGCCAUACUUCAUCCGUUCUUACCCACCGACCCCCCCCCCUCGUUUGGAGCCCUGCGCAACUAAAUCUUUCCAUGUCACUCCUUUCCCCAUCUUCGUCUGACUUGCCUAUUAAAUAUUUCCAAACCCAAGUAUCACAUGCCCUUUGUCCUUGAACACAGUUGUCUUCACAAACGCCCGAGUUUGCACAGAGUGAUCUCCCUUUGUGUUAACUGAAGUGGCAGGUUGCUCAUUACUUCCCGGGGCUUACGUGUUCAUAUGGAUUGCUAAAUGCCUUCCACAUUAUCCUCUGGUGGCUAUGCAGGCAAUUCUCGAUGACUCAACUGUAGCUGGUGCCAGGUACUGUGACUGAGAGCAGCACCUCCUCUUCCAUGGGGAAGCUUCUUCCUAACUGCCCUCUGCCCAGCUAAACAGCAGGUCAGUGCCGGGGCCACACUGGGUGAUUGCUUCCCCAGGGUUCUUGUUUAACCAAACAGUUGCUCGGUCCAUGGGCUGCCGUCUGCCAUCCUAGCUCGUGGGGCAGUUGAGGAAGAAGCAAUAGCCUUUUCCAUUUUAUGGCCAGUCUGUUGGACUCAGUGCUUAAUUCUGCUGCAGCUUUGUAACUAACACCAAGACUCUCUGCCUCAGUUUCCUCACUUGAAAAGGCAAGCAGUUAACCAUAGAUACCUCCCGGGGUCCUCAUGGAGAUGAAAAGGGUCCCAGCCCAGUGUCUGAGCACAUCAGGGCUUACUAGGUAUCACCUUGCAGCAUAAGACAUCAUGUUAAUCAGCCUACCAGGGUUUGCAGGAUGCAUGGGAGUAACCUGCUUUUGUUAGCUCAUGGAAGUCUUGUAAGAUCCCAAAAGACCUACCAUCUUCCACUCACAGUGAGGAGACUGAGACAGAGGGGACAGGAAAUUCAGAUGAGCUCUUAGGGUAAGAAAAAUGGCUGAAGCAGGUGCUAUCUUCUAACCAGUUUUAUUCCUACAUGCCAAGAAAUAACCACCACAGUGGACAUGCACCCAAUGUUAGGCACUGCCCUAAGUUCUCCUUUGGCCCUUGUAUUAAUUCUUCAAAGUAAGGCCCCAAUAAGCAUCCCUUUUCAUAGUUCAAGAAGCCCAGGUACAGGGAGUGUGAGUGACUGACUUUUCAAAAAUCAAAGCAAACUGAUCAAGAUUCAAAGUACAUUUCUUUUUUUUUUUUAUGGAAACCGUUACCUUAUAUUCAUGCUUACAGAUCCAGUAUUAAGAUGUUCAAUGUCCACAAAUUGAUCUCCCAAGAUCAGUACUAAAACUCCCAACUGUUGUUUUUAGAAGAAUUAAAAAUAAAUUGAGACACUAAUUCUGAGAUUUUUGUAGAAAUACAAUAGUCCUAAUGCAGCCAAAGCAAUGUAAAAUGGUGAAAAAAAUCCAACCAAUUUUGAGAUUUUUCUAUAAAGUUUUGACAAUUGAGAUAAACAAAAUAACCAAACAGAUCAGCAAACUCAAAAUUAGGCCCAUACAUCUACAUGCACUGCUUUUCAGAAAAGAUACAGGGCCCCACAGCUGGACAGUAUACAGAGAUGGAGAGAUUUUGGAACACACAGUCCUUUAUGGGAAGUCAUCAUCAAACUCCCCCUCUCAGGGCACAGGGAGCCUUGGGAAGAGGAAGUGGAAAGGUUAUAAAAGCCAACACAACAGGACUGACACAUAUAUGUUCUCAAAGAGACAGUAGCAGCAUGCACAGGGUCAAGCCAGAUGAGGCUCCUAAAACUGACAGAGGGGGAUGGACACAGGCUCCCACACAUGAUGAAGAAGCUAUCUGCAGUGUUUUCUCCAGUGGAGUUUCCCUAGGUAUAUUAACCACACUUAAGGACAGGCCCUGGGGUGGUUUGAAUAGGAAUGGCCCCCGUAGACUGCUGUGUUUGAAUGUUUGGAAUGUUAGGAGCUCCAGCCCUGCUGGAGUAGGUGUAGCCUUGUUGGAGGAAGUGGCGCUGUGGGGGUGGACUUUGAGGUCUCAGAACUGGCUCAAGCUUGGCAUUCACUUCUGCUUCCUCUGGAUCAAGAUGUAGAACUCAACACUUCUCCAGCACCAUGUCUGCUUGUGUAACACCCUGAUAAUGCCACUCUGAUAAUGGACUAAACCUCUAAUACUGUAAAACCAGCCCUAAUUAAGUGUUUUCCUUUAUAAGAGUUGCUGUGGUCAUGGUUCUUCAUAGCAAUAGAAACCCUCACCAACUCUGAAGUGAGCACCUUAGUGCUGCCCCACUAGUUGCCUAUGAGUCAAGGAACAUGAGGGCACAUCUUGUUUGAGAUGCCUUCCUGUCCCGCUGGCCUUACCCCGGAUCACAUGUUGCCUGAUGGUGGUGUGUGAAUCUAUACAACCAUAAACGGUCCUACAGGAUAGAGUUGAGGGAGCGUCUGGAGUUCUCUUCCGUAACCAUAGAAUUUAAACUUGAGAGAUGUGUGCACUGUGGAAUUUAGAAUUCUAGUCUUUUUGAAGGAUGGUUGUGACAGACACUUUUGCAUGGUGUGUGGUAUUUGGCUAGUGACACAACAUAGUCAUUUCUGAAAGAACCAGAUGUCAAGGGGAUGAAGAGUAUACAGUUUGCCUCAGCUGUUCUCAGGAACUUGUCCCCAGAGCAAAUAGAGAGGAAGCCAUGUGUUCUCAGGGGAAAGCAAUUAGCCAUCCUCUGCUGUAUCUGUAGAAGAAGGAAUUGGUAGGUCAUCAAGACUUCAGGAAAUGUUAAAUGAGAAUGAAUUAAUUCACAUGCUAACACUGGAGUAGAAAAGAACUGACAUUGUAAACUGGCAGAGGACCGGUGCCUUAAAUCAGGCCAAACACAGGCAGAGCUGCUCAAUACCAUAUUGUCAGUUUUUUCUUUCUGAGACGCAAAAAUAAAGUGUACUUGAGAUCACUUUCCAUGAAAUGAUACAGCUUUCUGUUUUUUUUUUUUUAAGAGCAAUUAUUCAUUGGCCAUUCUCUUAGACAAGGCUGUGUAUUAUGUGAUGCAGUCGAUACAAAUGUAAAUCCUCUUAACACUAAAGUGUUAGAAGACUAGGAAGGGGAGAAACUUCUCUCUAUGACAGUGGAAUAUUGUUAACCUGAGAACACAGCUGUUGUAACAUUGAAGUUCUUGGGAUUGGUUUGUCAUGGUGAUAAUCCAUUAAAAGGACAUUCAGAAGGUAACAGCUUUACAAUUUCUUUGUUUUUCUGAGAGAUGUCUUCUUAUGUCUCAGAGGCACAGGCCAUAAAGAACCCUACUGUGAUCAACACCUGGGAAAUGAGGACCCAUAGUGACCAAGAGCCUCCUCCUCUACCCAGGGUUUAACUUAAGACAAGGACGAACAGGGGUCUGCCUUGGCACAUACUUGCCCAUCUUUUAUCUCCUGUACACAGAAAAACAGGAACUACUUCUAUAUUGUUACAAAGUUAUUCCCUCAAACCCUGGCAAGUCUCUACACCUUGAAUUAGAUAGCCCUGCCUUUUCCUUCCAUGAAGGGAAGAAACAGUAUUGUGAUGCUCACUGAUUAAAAGAGGAAACUAUUUGGAAAUUGAAAGGAAAGGAGGAGAACACUUUCACCACAGUCUCCAGAUCUUAUGACGAGCACGAUGGUGGCAUUCUAAAUCAAGUUACAUUAAUGUACCUCACCGUGGUCAUUUUUUUAUACUAAGUAGCAAUUUUAAUUACCCAAGGAAAAAUAUAAUUAUUUGAAACAAGAACUUUCUGGCCACUAGUUAAAAUAAGAACAGAUCAGCAAUAAAGAGUGCAUACUGCUCUUCCAGAGGACCUGUUUGGUUCCUAGCACCCAUGCUGGGCAGCUCAUAACCCAUAGCUACCUGAAAUCCAACUCUGGGGAGAUUGGAUGCCCCCUUCUGGCCUUCAUGGACACCUGCACUUAUGGACACAUAACCAUGCCCCUGCACACGCACACCCUCCCAUCACAAUUAAAACAAGAACAGAGAAAAAAUAUUACAUAGGUGACAAAGUUGCUCAGAAAAGGUCAGGAUUUUUUUCUUCUCUUUACAGAAAUAGUCCUGUAUUCUACCCUUAAAUUCCUUUGUGGAAAUCUGCUGUAAGGGUCAAGAAGCAUAAAUGCUGUAGCCAAGUGGCUGCUAGAAGCAUUUUUGUUUCAUUUACUAUGGAAAGGUUUGUUGUUGUUGUUAUUAUUGUUUUGGUUAUUUUUUCCUAAUCUGAAACACUAGAGUCUUAGAGAUCCUUUGUUAUCAAUCCGCAUCACAACAGGAGGGAAUAAGCUUAGACACAAAACAUUUCUUGGAAGAAGAAUAAACAGGUUAUGCCAGUUCGAACAAGCCAUGGAAUUCAGAACUAUAAUAUCUGUGAUGUUAUUAGCAAAGCCGGUGCAGCGUGGGGGGAAACCCAUAAUCAAAAUGCUUGCAACAGACCCAGAAAGAUAUUUAAAGGAGUCUCGUUCACAAACAAUGUUUUCAGCAGGUUUGGAUCCAGUUGGCAUCCGCCUGUCUGUGUGGACUGCCACGCUGCUCCUCUGGCUCUGAGAAAUCUGAUUAGGCACUGCUGUUUGUUCCUUACAGUCAGAAACUCAUCUGCUAUGAGCUCCCUGUUUUCAUCCACUUUCUCACAGAGGAGACACUGUUUCCAAAUAAAGGCCUGUUGUGUUCAAUAAGGAGUUGAAGCCACUCACUACCAUCCACAUAAGGGGAAACUCAACCUGACUUUUUCUUCUUACAGUUUCUACCCUGGGGCUUGACCAGGAUUCUCUUCCAUCGCUUUGAGAAUGUCAGAGUUUAAAACUUCAAAGGUAGGAGAUGAUGGAUAUACAGCAUUCACAAUAGAUUGCUUUAAGUAGCACAUGUAUGUGGUGAUUCGUUCUCAAGAUUCCUUUGAAAGCUAAGCCCCGCUCUUAGAGAAAACACUUAGACACAGAACACGAGAAAGAGCGCUGUUCUCUGAGCUGCAUGGCCCUGCUGGAGGCUUCUCCAACUGUACCGAAUUCUUAGCAAUCGUUUCCAUCAUUUCAUUCCCUUCUUGCUUCAUUGUUUUAUAUUUAAAUACUUUAAAAAUAGUUUUGGCUUCAUGUUGGAACUGUGUUUGUGUUUAAUGUCUCCCCACUUGCUCUUCUCAUUUUAACUACACUUCCAGUUUUUACAGCUGUGCUUUAUAGCUAUCUCCAAGACUUUUAUAUUAAUGCUGCUCCCCCCAUUCAAAAAGAAUCUCUUUCUAACUCUGUUAAGACAGGGUCUCACUUGUAGUAUUUGAUAAAGAGGAAUACUUUACAAUACUGGGGGAGAUAUCUCAGAUGUAAAUCUUCCCAUGAGGAUGAAGCUUUUUCGCAUUCCAGAAACAAACAAUAGGGUGGGUUGAACACUGAUUGUAGCUACCAAGGAAGGGAAACACUUGGGCUUCAGAUUUGAGAAAUUAUUUUACGUGGGACCAAAUCAAAUAUAUGUGACAGAGAAAAGGGGUGAAGAUGGGGCCUCUACAAACACACUCAUCGCCAAGGAAUGUCCCGGCUUUGGAUUUGGCCCACAAGACACUCAGCUGGCAACUCUUUUAGAAGAUAAACCCUAAGCUUACAGAACAGGGACUUGGACCAGGAGUGUCACACACCAGCUUCAACCAUCACACUGAAAACAUUAAAGGGUUUCCACUUCUUCUCCAUGGUUCAAAGUAUGUCUCCUUAAUGAGGAACACUCCAAGAGCACAGCACCGGGCACAGCUUUCUGUCUUGUCUCUAAGUCACAAGAACCCACUGGGACAGCCCCUGUCUGCCUGUCUGUCUCCAAAUCCAAGUUCUUGUCUCGUCUUUCAUUAGCCACAACACACUCUAUGAACUCUAGAACUUGUGGAGAAUUCAUUUAAACAAGAUCCCUGAAAACCAACUGAGAAAAGAGAAACCCAAGUGAAUGCAUCUUAGUGUUGCUGAAUAUAUAUGAUUUGUUAUAGAAUAUGUGGGCUUUUUUUGUCUGUGGUGUUUAUUUAAAAGAUUAGAAAGGCAAACCCAGAGGUGAGGCAUUCAUCCAGUGGGUAGUUACCUCAACGCAUUAUAGAGACCCAACCUUGCUCCCACCCUUGCUUCCCCCCCCCCCCCCGAGUUCCACAUCCUUCUCUUUGAAGUGGAAAUGGGAUGGAAACAGUUGGGGCAACCAUUUAGGAUUUUGGAGAAUGAAGCCCUUUUAGUUUGACCCCCUGGUUUUGUGAGAACACAAACCUUUCCAUACCUCCCAGUGGGGCCAGGACUACUAGUGUUCCUAAAAGGUCUGUAUGUUGGAAUACACUCAUGGAGACUGCCCUGCCUGUCUUAGCACCCAUUUGCCCCACCACCACCCUGACACCAUGUUAUCCAGAGUCCUUCUCUUCUAUUGCAUAUGGUAAAGUUCCCCUUAGGCUUGGCUAACACACUCACCUAUUUUUAAAAACUUGCAUUUCUCCCAAGCAAUUCAUCCUGCAUAUAUAUUUUAACCUGUCUCUCUCUACCAUCCCUCCCCUCCCUCUCUCUCCAUCUCUCUUUUCUUCUGACACACACACACACACACACACACACACACACACACACACACACACCUUCCUUUCCUUUGCCUCUUUCCCCUUCUUCCUCCCCUCUUUCCAUUGUCUCAAUUUCUUAGUCUUAAACAGGUUCCAGAGGAGAAGAGCAGCUACUCUGAAAUCAUUCAGAAGUCCUUUAGUUGACAUACUAAACUCACUUCCUUUAGAAGUGAACUGACCUCUCUCUGUUCUGCCAUUGAUAGCGUGUGUAUAAACUUAUACUGGUCUGUUUAAAUCUAUGAGGGUUUUUCCUAAGUCACUAAAAUAGACACCAUCCAGUGACUGUUUGCUUGGUGGUACGCACUUCAUACAUGUCCUCCAGGAAUUGCACUAGCCUUGUACUUUACUAUCCUUUUACAGGGGAGGAAACAAGGGUUCCCGGAGGCUAAUAGCGUUGUGUCAAACAGAUGAAAUAAUGACAGUAUACAACAUGGAGCACAUCUGUAUUUCCUAAACGAACUUGUCUAAGGCACAGCUGCAGGAGGUGAAGCCAGGAUUAAAAGCUAAAGCAGUGAGAACUUCAGGACACCGUCCUUUCUGCCACAACAUGCAGCUCUUGAGCCCUGCAUCAGGAAAAAAAAAAAAAAAAAAAAAAAAAAAAAAAAAAAAAAAAAAAAAAAAAAAAGGCAGAGAAACUAAUUAAGGACCAUGCCAAAGAAAAUGCAGCAAAGUUUGAUUCAUUUGCCGUUGGCUUAAAAACUAAAGCAAAACACAGCCAGCCCUACUGGCCUGAAAGCUUACAACAUUUUCUUUAAAAAUAAAAGCAAGCAGGCACAGAACUGGUACUAUGGUGUAUUUUAAAAUGAUGUAAAAUCUACCUCCAACCUCCUCCAAAGCUGCACAUAUAAAAAAGAUCCAGGAGGAAAAAAGGAAAUGCACCAAACAGUCAGUAAACAUGCCAAGUUAAAGGGAUGCUAGGCAUUUUCCCGUUUUCUUCUUUCCUUCUUUUCCUAGGAUAAGUGUGAGCUGCUUGCCGAUGAAUUUAAUCUUCAACAAAAUUACUUAGCCUGCUAAACUAGUGAAAAAAGAAAGAAAUAUAAGCUUUGCUCUAACAGCUUUGGCUUUUACCAUGGGAGUGGGGGAGGCAAUAUCAGGUGAUUGGGUAAAUAAUUACAAAAAGAAAUGUUUAAGCAGGGCUUAGGGAGUCGGGAGCCCCCUGCCAGGACAAGUAUGCUAUCUGUUUGAUGGAAGGAGAGAAGGAAAAAAAAAAAAAAAACUACUCUUAACUGAGUUAAACUUCAGAGUUUAAUUACUGUUCAAUGAGGAAUUAAGAUUAGUGCCCAGUUGGAUAUUCACUUCUUUCUGCAGACCAGUGACAGGCAGUUUUAAUAAGGCCUCUGAGCCGAUGCCACAUGGGAAAUGAAAACAGAAAAAAUCCACUCAGUGGAUGCCUGCACUGACCUUGAACUUGAAGCAGAUGGGGCAGGUUCCUGCACUGAACUUGUCUUUGGAAACCCUAGCUCCCAGAAAGUGGAGAGCAGGGGCAAUCUGCUCUGCUCAUUGAUCUUCAGACCCCCAACUGUCCUACUUUUGAGGGUAAGCCUUGCCUUCCAAGUCUGUGUCAACCAAGAAGGAAAUACCCACAACAGAAAACUGAUUUAUGACAUCAGUACUUUCCAUAUAAAUCAUUUUUGAUUAAGAUGCAGUCAAUCCGAAAUCCACUCCUGUCGUUACUGCCAUCGGGUUCAAUGGCUACACCCUGUCUCGGGACAACUCGACUGCAAAUGGGAGGAACCACAUGAGAAGUCUUACUUUAGUCAUGGCUUCCUCUCACACUCCCAGGAUGUGGAGGACAGAGACAAGUAUGGCUCUUCUGGCUUCCAUGGUUCCAGAUGACCAACAAAAAGAUAUAAUGGUGGCAUUUUCAGUGGGCUUUGUGUUUCUAUACCCCAAUUCAGUUCAUGAUUCUUAAAACCAGCCUGGGGUUAGCAUGGUAUGUAUGUGUUUACAUGUCCUUGUGUGUGUGCUUGUGUGUCCAUGUGUGCGUCCCUGUGUGUGUCUGUGUGUGUGUGUGUGUGUGUGUGUGUGUGUGCCUGUGUGUCUGUCUACCUGUGUGUCCAUAUGUGUGUGUCCCUGUGUGUGUGUGUGUGUGCCUGUGUGUGCCUGUGUGUCUAUGUGACUGUGUGUCUGUCUACCUGUGUGUCCAUAUGGGUGUGUCUGUGUGUGUGCCUGUGUGUUCAUUUGUAUGUGCCUAUGUGUCCGUGUAUGUGUGUCCAUGUGUGUCUAUGUGCCUGUGUGUCUGUCUACCUGUGUGUCCAUAUGUGUGUGUCUGUGUGUGUUCAUGUGUGUGUCCGUGUGUGUGUGUGUGUGUGUGUGUGUGUGUGUGUGUGUGUGUGUGCCUGUGUUUCCAUGUGUAUGUGCCUAUGUGUCUGUCUACCUGUGUGUCUAUAUGUGUGUGUCUGUGUGUGUUCAUGUGUGUGUCCGUGUGUCCGUGUGUGUGUGUGUGUGUGUGUGUGUGUGUGUGUGUGUGUGCUUGUAUUUUAAGAAGUGGGAGUAAUGAAAAGGCAGCACUGUGCAUUCCACCCAUCACACAGUUUUAGAAAGCAGAACACCAGCCGAUGUUUGCUCCAGGUUCUCGUUAAGCUCACCAGAUUAUUGAGGUCAUUUCAGCCAUCUAGACUUCCCACACUGCUGUCUCUUCACAUACUUCUCUGGCUUGGUGUUUUAUGUCUCAUGCACAACUCAGCAUUUUUGUGUCCACCAGGAUGGAUUGGCAUGUGCACAGAUAAUACACAAUGUGGGUGUGCUUUCUGCAUAUCCAAGCUUCUACACAUGGUACACAGUGGAAUUCUCCAAUCUACAACUUAAGUUAAAAAGCACUCACUGUGAGCCGGGCUGUGGUGGUGCACGCCUUUAACCCAGCACUCAGGAGGCAGAGGCAGGCAGAUCUCUGUGAGUUCGAGACCAGCCUGGUCUACAAGUACUAGUUCCAGGACAGCCUCCAAAGCCACAGAGAAACCCUGUCUUGAAAAACCAAAAAAAAAAAAAAAAAAAGAAAAAGAAAAAAAAAGAAAAAAAGCACUCACUGUGAGUGACAGCACAUAUGUGUGUGCAGGAGCCUAUGCAUGUGUGUAGAGGCCAGAGGUCAACCUCCAGGGUCCUUCCUCAGGCACUGUCCACUUUGUUUUUUGGAAACAGGGUCUCUAACUGGCAUAGAACUCACUUAAAAGACCGGGCUGGCUGGCCAGUGAGCCCCAGGGAUCUACCUGCCCCUGCGUUUCCAGAGCUGAGAUUAUAAGCAUAUGCUACCCUACCUGGAUUUCUUACAGGGGUUUUAGGGAGUAACUCAGAUCCCCCUGCUGUUAGGCAAGUGCCUCAGCUCUGCUACCUCCCCAGGAUACAACCUAUGCUUUUGAGAGUUCAUGACAGUAAAACUCCACUAGAAUAUUUUAUUUUAUUCUUUAGUUUUUAAUUAUGGGUGUCUGUUGCCUGCUUAGCCUCAAACUCAUGAUCUUCCCGCCUCAGUCUGGAAGUGCUGGGACUGUGGGCGUGUGUCUGUGCCUUGUGGAAUGUGUAUUCUUCUGAAAGUUACAUCACAAAAGAUUAAUCUAUUUCAGUGCUCUUUGGGGUUUUAAAUAUCUGUUGGAAACCAUGCCACUUAACAAGCAUUUCCAUGCCUGCACCCUUUUACAGCUGCACACUUUCCCCACGAGUUUUACAGUGAGAAGUUGAUCUACUAAGUUAGGGAGGGUGAUUUGAAGCUAAUGUGGAGUGUGGUAUUUCUGGCGCUUAGUAGCAGCCCAUGAAAGUGAUGGCUACUCUACAAACACCACCCUGCUUCCUUGUCCUGUAUCUUAAAUUCUGUGGGUUCUGAUGCAAUGGUUUCUGCAGGUCAGGUUUUUUUGUUUGCUUGUUUUGUUUUGUUUUAUUUCUGAUGGGGGAUGUCCUUCUGUGCAUAUGUUUCUCUUAUUGGUUGAUGAAUAAAAUACUGUUUGGCCAAUAGAAGCAUGACUAGGCCAAUAGGCAGGACUAGGAGAUGAGGGAGAAUUCUGGGAAAGCUAGGUAGAAAUGGGUCAUGGGGAGAUGCCACAUAGACCACAAAGGAGUAACAAGGCCAGACCCUUCUCCAGUAAGCCAAGGCCACGUGGACAUACAUAGAUUAAUAGAAAUGUGUUCAUAAUUAAGAUAGAGCUAGCCAAUAAGAAGCCCCAGCCAUUGGCUAACAGUUUUAUAAUUAAUAUUUCGUCUCUGUUCAUUUGGGGCUGACAUGGCGGGACCUGGCGGGACACGUAACUCCAGCCUGUCAGUAGGCUGUGUGCUUGUUCCUAUCCUCAUUUGUUUAUUCUGGUCUUCAUUUGCUGCUCACAGACUCAUUAAUGACCCUGUUCUUUGGAGCUACUUAACCGAGAACAAUUCUUUGUCAUGUGAAAGGUUGCGUUUUUACCCACCUCCUCUCUCUUCUAUGUUGAACAAACUCUUUCUGUCUUUGGAUCUUGGUGUCAUCAGAUUCACCAAUGUUUUCUGCAACUUUUUGUCCCUGGAGUAAGAAACUUUUCUUUUGGGCAUUGCACAUUUUUAACCAAAGCUGUUUCGCACAUCUGGGUCUUUAAUCCAUCUGGGUUUAUUUUUUUGUCUAUGUGUGAAAAUGGGAUCCCAUCUUCUUUUCUGCAGGGGUCAUCAGUGGCCCUACCCCUGUUUGCCAGGCUGGCCUGUCUUUUCUUUUGCUUUGCAGGGCCAUCUUGGUUACAGCUCAAGUUUAUAAGUGUUUCUAGUGUUUCUGGAUUCUCUGCCACACAGCUGGGCUUAUUGGUCUCUUUUUAUGCCAAGACCACAUUUAGAGAGCUGUACAAAUUUGCGAUACAUUUGGUCAGCCACCCCCCCAACACCCUCCCUCUCUCUCUCUCUGUCUUUCUCUCCCUCCCUAUAUUUCUCUAUACCUAACUUUCCUUGAUGCCUCGUGUUUUUAUAUUGAUUUUAGGACUCACUGGCAAACCCUGUGAAGCCUCUGGGAUGCUGGUCAAAAUGUCACGGGGGUGUGAGGUGCUUUCGAGGGGUGGUGACACACGGCCGUUCUACGGUCUGUGUGAAGAAAAUCUCUGCUCACCAUUCACUGCAGACUUCAUUAUAAAUGAGGAUAUUGUGCUUUCUGACUCUAUGAAUAUCACCACGGUGAGCACUUCAAGGGUGGAAACCAGCAACGGAAGUUAUCUAAGCCGGCACAAUUAUGUAUAAUUUAACACCGGCCAACGUUUUCUUUUAUACUUGUACUAAUGAACUCAUUGCUCAUGCAGCUUCAAUUGCCUCCUGCAUAUGGAUGUUUCCAGAUUUGCACCCAGAUUGAAACACUUACUCUGUUAUCAGAUUAGAGUGGUGGUUUGUCAGACACCAAGGCUCUGGAAUAUAAUGUGUUGAAAAUGGAAAAUUAUUUUACCACAGAGAAGUUAACACCAUUGGUUUACGAUUAUGUGGAAGACUUCAUUGUGAAUCUUCUCCCUAAUCAAAGAAAAAAGGAAAGUAAAUAUGGCAGGGGUUUGAGUUCUGAGGAAAUCAAUGAUCUGGGCCAUGAAGGUCAGAAAGGAAUUGGGUACAGGAGGUUCCUGGGGUGCCGGCCCUGGCAUGGAUGGCCUCCAGAUAAUCCUCCAGGGCUGUGGAGUGGUACAGAGACAAGAUCUGGGAUACAGCGACAGGUCUCGCGACCACUUGGGUGGGAGACAAGCAGACACUGUCAGCUGCGUGGGCUUGAUUCAAGAACAGAGCUAUCCUGGAUGGCAGAGUGCACUUGACCUCAGACAACCUGAGUGGCACAGGGCAGUUGGGAAGAAGAACCCUCCAGAAAGAGAGGAGGCAAAACGUGUUGACCCUGGAAGAGCCAAGUAUGGGUCUUCAGGAAGGGGUAAGAGUGGACCAAGGCUCAGUAGAUAGCUCUUUGAGGAAAACUCCAGGUAACAGUUCUGGAUUCUCUAAGUCUGUAGCUCUUGAGAAACUCUGAGGAGACAGAGGAACAGACAAAGGGAUCACUCCACGUAGAGGAGGCCAAUCUGUGUGUUGCUGGCGGUUUCUUUUCCAGCCUGGUCCCACUGAAGCCUUCAGCCCCAAAUAAACACUCGGACACUGAAUCACACUGUUGGCUGAUGACUAGGGCUUCUUACUGGCUAGUUCUGUCUUAAUUAUUAACCCGUAACUACUAAUCUAUGUAUUUCUUCAUAACUUCAUCUUACUGGAGAACACCUUGCACAUUCUCCCAGUCUCCACAUGGUGACUCCUUCUGGUACUUCUCUGCCUACCGUUCCCAGAAUUCUCCUUGUCUCCUAGCCCCACCUAUCUUCCUGCCUCCAGCAGCCAAACAGUGUUUUAUUCAUCAACCAAUAAGAGAAACAUAUAUACAGAAGGUCAUCCCCCAUCAUCUGUGUGCCUUCAAAAAUGGAGAAGAGGAAGGUUGAAAGUCGCUGCUGGGACUGGGUCAUAGGGGUCAAAUGAGUACCUCUCUAAUCACCCGAGUAACCCUAAAUCUACAGAGGAGCACACGCGCUGGUCUGUGUGAGACAGUCUAGUGUCCAAACAAUGAGCAGCUAGCUCUUAAGGGAGGAAUCGGAGAUCAGGUGUGGCCCCGACAGUCUAGCCAGGCUAAAGUUAAACUGACAUUAAAUAUAUUCCAACUAGCAAGCUGAUAAACUCAAGUUUUGAUGAAUUUUAACUUCCUAGAUUUCAUUCUGUUGUAGGAAAGAGGCCCUGAUGCACAGGGCUUUCGUAAGAAGUCUCUAAUAAGCCAAGAAGAAAAGGAAACUAUCCACUUUUCCACCAAAAGAGAUGAGAAAAAUUGACAACCCCUUGCUCCAUUGUUGGGUAAUGUGAAAGAGUGGCUUUCUUGAAGUUGUAUCCCUGAAUCUCCAAGGUUAACUUGGAAGGAACAUCCAAGCACAACGGCAGUCAAGACAAGCAUACAACUCCUCUUCCACUACAAGGCCCUCACUUCAGUACUAUGGCCUAUAGGACUGUUGCUAGGGCCAAAGACUCCCAGGAGCAGUGACCAUCCCCAUGAGUUCCAGCUCACAGAACAGGUCUGGGCACCAACCUCAUGUCUUUUUGGACAUAUGAGGCAUGAGUUUUCUGUCCCAGCUGGUCCUGCUGCCCUUCUCAGUCUCAAAUAAGCACACAGAGACAUUGAUUAUAAAACUGUUGGCCGAUGACUAAGGCUUCUUAUUGGGUAGCUCUGUCUUAAUUAUUAACCCAUUUCUAUUAAUCUAAAUAUUUUCCAUGUGGUCUUAUCUUACCUGAGAAGGGUCUGGUGCAUCCUACCUUCCUGGUUUCACAUGGCAUCUGCUCUCUGCCUACACUUCCCAGAAUUUUCCUCAUCUCCCAGUCCCGCCUAUCUCCCUGCCUCUAUUGGCCACAGUGUUUUAUUCAUCAACCAAUAAGAGAAACAUACACAGAAGGACAUCCCCCUUCAGACAUAGCAGGCUAACUGUUAAUUUAAGGAUGGACCUUCUGAGUUUGGCUUUAAUAUGGCAGUGAUGGAGCUGCUGCUGCCAUGCUAUCUCUCACUGCUCUUUUCUAUAAAGCUAGAAGUAAAACUCACAGAAAAGAGAGAUUUGCUGAAAGCUUGGGGGGUCUCACAGAUAGGGACAGAUAUAAUGUACUAAGUAUUUUCUUGUUUGUAGCCACUCAUGAACUUGCCUUGCUAAAUGCUGCACAGAUUUUACUUCCACGCAUAAACCCAAUUGUGUUAACUUUUCUUGUUUCUGACAUGGUGCCUGAUGGAAACAACCUGGCUCAUGGCUUCAGAGAUUCCAGUCCACUGUGGCCUGGUGAGCACGGCAACAAAGAGAGCUUCACAUAUCAUAUCUUGACAUCCAAGGGAAAUAGCAUCUCUCUUCGGGCUUUCUUCCAUCUCCCAUUUAUCCCCUAGCCCACAGGAAGUUGCCACCAACUGAGGUGGGUCUUUCUCCCUUAGCCAAUCCUCUCAGAAAACACCCUAUUGACACACUGACAUACAGCUCAUAACUUUCCUAGGUGGUUCUAAAUUGAGUCAAAUUAACAAUGAAGACUAGUCAUCAAUCAAACAGCAUGUUGAGAUAUAAAAAUAGUUUGCAAAUCAGAAAUAUUGUAUUAGGUCAGUCUACUCAACUUAGUUCUGAAAUUGAAGGUAGAAUAUGUAACUCAAAUGUGCCACCAACCAAUGUGGGUCUACAUUUUGUUUCUCCAAACCAUGACCUAGAAGCUUCCAACACUUUUCCAUUGGUUGGAGUAGGAACCAAAUAAAAAAUUAAGCCAAGGUCUGACAACAAAAGGGCAAAAGAUUGACUAAUUCAAACAGGUGCAUACAUUUCAAUAUUAAAAUGUGGUUUUGGAAGAUGUUUGGUAUCCUACACAGGUCAGUGGUUUGAACUAUGUGCUCCUAGUGAACAAUUAUACAAGGUAAUAAGGCCAAAACAUGAAUUGGCAAGAGGCCCCAUGUGUAUCCAUUUUAUCUUCUCAGAUUCCCCAAAGACAAAGACUCCUCGAUCACCCUCCAUGUCCCCAGGCUCAGGAACUGCUCCAGUGAGCUUUCACAAGGCGUUCUUGCCAAUUAUCCUAUUUUGUUGUAGCACCUACUAAAGAGCAUAGCACAACACAAGACACAGAGUAGGCACUUGAAUCAUGGUUUGCAUCAGGAAUGAGGUUGAGUUAGAAGCCCAUGGGCUGAGACCUGCUCAAAGGAAUGCUACAGACCAGAUUCUACUCUUCCCAGACCCGCUCUCCAUGACCUCUCCUUGAUGGACUCUGGCCAGGGUGGACAUAUCCACUCACAGAAAUUGUCUCUUACUGUAAGCACGAAGACUGGAAGCACUGUGCCCUUUCUCUCCCCAGCUACCUCAUAAACUGUAUUCAGUUCAGCAGAUAAGGAUUCAAACAGAACUGAUGUAUGUUUCUGAUGUAAUUUGAUUCAAGAAAAAAUUAUUUUGUAUCUUUCUACGCAUCUAUUCUCAACUAUUCUUUUGCUUAGCUUAUGUGAAUGGCAAGUAUUAAAAAGAAAAACUGCUAUUCUCCUUUAUUCAAAAGUAUGACUAAAUAAUUAAUAAUGACUCUAAAAUGUAGUUUUUUAAUGACCAGGAAAUUAAAUUGUCAUGUGUAAAAUUGGAAAAUAACAUUGUGUACUAGAAAGUUAAUUCUAUCCCAUUAAAAUUAGUCUCUUUGGAAGUUCUAUUACUGGUUGACAAAGUAAUUGUUGUCUUAGCCAAAUUCCUAGCACUUUCUGUCUGACAUAGGCUUAUGAGUUUCAGGCGCAGGCCACCACUUUCUAGAACAUGCAUGGGGGAGAGAAUAGUCUUCUGAAGUUAACCACCUAAUGGGAGGGCUAGAAAGUGUUGCUAAGGAACCAAGAACUGGAGGACAGAUAUAAGGGUUCUAGUCCCAGGGAGACCACACACACACACACACACACACACACACACACACACACACACACACACACACACACACACACACACACACACACACACACACACACACACACACACACACACACACACACACACACACACACACACACUCUGUAUUGACUUAUGACUUUCAGACAGUCACUUCCUUCCCCAGUGCCUAUUUUUUCAUGCAUAAAGCUGAUGGUAGACCCUGGUGCUCCAUCUAAGCCAGUGGUCCUUCCUAAUGCAACCUUUUAAUACAGUUCCUCAUGCUGUGGUGACCCCCAACCAUAAAAUUAGUUUUGUUUCUAAAAGCUGUAGUUUUGCUACUGUUAUGAAUCAUAACAUGAAUGUUUUUGGAGAUAGACGUUUAUCAAAGGGGUUGCAACCCAUGGGCUAAGCACUGAAUCUUAAGCAUGUACUUCUGAAUUAGUUAUUAAAUGUGCAUUGGUUGUUGGUGUGCUACAGAUGGAUAAAGACUGGUGUCCGGUGAGUACCAGGAAUGCAGCAGUGCACAGUACAGGCAAGGUAUUCACUGCUUAGCCUAGGGGAGCAGGCAGACCCCACCUCACCAUUUAGGGAUUAAAAGAAGAGUCUGGACCAGUGAUUCUCAACUUAUGGUUCAAUACCCCUAUGACAGACCUCUGUCUCCCAAAAUAUUUACAUUGUGAUUCAUAACAGUAGGAAAAAUCACUGUUUUUAAAUAGAAACAAAGCUAAUUUUAUGGUUGGGGGUUACCACAACACGAAGAACUGUAGUAAGGGUAACAGCAUUAGGAAGGUUGAGAACCACUGGUCUGAACUGUGAAUUCCUGGACAGAAUGGGCCUACAAAAGCUAAGAUGACAGAGACAUCCCUCAUCUGACUGAACUGAGAUGGGCAGUCUAAGAUUCCCCAAGGCUGUGUAGGGGCUCAGGUCCUUCAGUUCAGAUACAUCCUUUCCAGGCCUGUUCUCUAGCUGUGUGGACCAAAUUGCUCCUCAGAACACACUCACAUGCCAGUCAACAGGUUGGAGGAUAGAAGAACAUCCAUUAAGGGAAAUAAGAGUGGGAAAUUGUUUUCUUGAACAAGAAAUCUCAGAACAGAGAAAUCGGAUCAUGAGUUUCAAGCCCCCCUGAGCAAUGCACUAAGUUCCAGACCAUCAUGAGCUAUCUAGCAAAGUCUCGUCUCAAAAACAGAUUUAAGAUUAUUGCCUUCAGUUCUUUGUGCCACCCACUGGGAACUUCACAGAACCAUCCAACUACAUGGAAGCUGGGAAAUGUGUUUGUCAUAAGUGACCCUGUGGCAACCUAAAGAAAGAAAGCAGCCAAGGCUAGCAAAAAGGAAGGAAACGAAGAACAAAACUGUUGAAGGACAGCUCAGAGUGUCAUGUGUGUAUUCUGUUCCUUUGUUAG